GUGUCGAUUGUUAGGGGACCGUAUAUUUUGUGCACAUUUCCCGUUUGUGCGAUUAAGGUUCUUUAGAAUUCCAUUUUGCUGAAUAUUUUGUCGUGAAAGUGGUACUGCCUCGUCUGCUGUUUGCAAAUAUUUAAAUGAAAGUGUAAGGUAGUUUGACGGGUUACAGACCCAAGAUUGUACUUUCUGUGCAUGGACAGAAAGCCAAUGCGCAGAGGUACCAGUACACGCCCAGACACCACCGGGAUGGACAUCACCAGCCGUUGCACUCUGGGAGAUCCAAACAAGCUCCCUGAAGGAGUCCCACAGCCAGCUCGAAUGCCUUAUGUGUCGGACAAGCACCCACGUCAGACCCUGGAGGUCAUUAACCUACUUCGUAAACACAGAGAGCUGUGCGAUGUGGUGCUGGUGGUAGGCACGAAGAAGAUCUACGCUCAUAGGGUCAUCCUGUCUGCGUGCAGCCCCUAUUUCCGAGCCAUGUUCACGGGCGAACUAGCUGAGAGCCGCCAGACAGAGGUGGUGAUCAGGGACAUCGACGAGCGUGCCAUGGAGCUGCUUAUUGACUUUGCAUACACAUCACAGGUCACAGUGGAGGAGGGUAAUGUACAGACACUGUUGCCAGCUGCCUGCCUGUUGCAGCUGGCUGAGAUCCAGGAGGCUUGUUGCGAGUUCCUCAAACGCCAGCUCGAUCCCUCCAACUGUCUGGGAAUCCGUGCCUUCGCUGACACUCAUUCCUGCCGAGAACUGCUGCGCAUAGCUGACAAGUUCACCCAGCACAACUUCCAAGAAGUAAUGGAAAGUGAGGAGUUCAUGCUUCUUCCUGCUAACCAACUGAUCGAUAUCAUCUCAAGCGAUGAGCUGAAUGUACGGAGCGAAGAGCAGGUGUUUAAUGCUGUCAUGGCCUGGGUUAAGUACAGUAUCCAGGAACGCCGGCCGCAGUUGCCCCAGGUGCUCCAGCAUGUCCGCCUGCCUUUGCUGAGCCCCAAGUUCCUAGUGGGGACCGUGGGAUCGGAUCCCCUUAUCAAAAGUGAUGAGGAAUGCCGAGACCUUGUUGAUGAAGCAAAGAACUAUCUGCUCUUGCCUCAGGAGCGACCCUUAAUGCAAGGCCCGCGAACACGGCCUCGGAAACCGAUACGAUGUGGGGAAGUCCUGUUUGCAGUGGGGGGCUGGUGCAGUGGUGAUGCCAUCUCCAGUGUGGAGCGCUAUGAUCCCCAGACCAACGAGUGGCGCAUGGUGGCUUCUAUGAGCAAACGCCGCUGCGGAGUGGGUGUGAGCGUCCUGGAUGAUCUGCUCUAUGCAGUUGGCGGUCAUGAUGGCUCCUCUUAUCUAAACAGUGUGGAGAGAUAUGACCCCAAGACGAAUCAGUGGAGCAGUGAUGUGGCCCCUACAAGUACCUGUAGAACCAGUGUGGGGGUAGCUGUAUUAGGGGGCUAUUUGUAUGCAGUUGGUGGCCAAGAUGGAGUGUCCUGCCUCAACAUUGUAGAAAGAUAUGACCCAAAAGAGAACAAGUGGACACGAGUUGCUUCAAUGAGCACCAGGAGGCUGGGUGUUGCUGUGGCAGUUCUGGGUGGGUUUCUCUAUGCUGUGGGAGGGUCGGAUGGAACAUCCCCUCUCAACACAGUGGAGAGGUAUAAUCCACAAGAAAACCGAUGGCACACAGUGGCUCCCAUGGGAACGCGCAGAAAGCACCUAGGCUGUGCUGUCUACCAGGACAUGAUCUACUCUGUUGGGGGUCGAGAUGACACUACUGAGCUUAGCAGCGCUGAACGCUACAACCCUAGGACAAACCAGUGGUCUCCUGUGGUUGCUAUGACAUCUCGGCGAAGUGGUGUAAGCUCUGCCUUUUUUCCCUCCGCUGAUUUAUCUGUAAGGUUCAAAUUGGAGUCCAAGAUGGUAUGACUUAAACAAUGUUUUAUGCAAAAUUUGCUGCAAUGAAAAGCUGUUGGGGACAAAAAGUCUUUGGUUGUGGAUUCCAUUUCCACUCUUGGCUGCAAUAUUCAUGUGGAGCUGGCAUGAUAUCACCAGGGUAAUUGCAUUAUUUUCCAAAAAUCCUGCUUGGGAUCAAUAGAACAUCUUUAAUCUUAUAUAUCUAAAUUGACUGGGAACUGAGAAAUUGCACCUAAAUUAUAUCCAGGAUUAAAAUGUGCUAUUGCAUACAGACUAUGCUUUAUGCCUGAGUUGGUAAUUAACCAUUAUUUAAUUGUCAAUGCAGGCAGAGAUGGCAUGGUAAGGGUGGGAAUGUUUUAUCAGUUCAUUUAAAAAAUAUGCCCACAAUCUUCUGGGAAAAUCCUCCGAAAUAAGUCCCUGUUUAAAUACCAUUUUGCUGCUCCUACACACCUACUUAUGUCAGGAUAUGAUAGAAGUAGGAUAUGUUGUACCAUACAAUUUGACCUGGACAGAAUCAGAUGGUUUUUGAACCUCUCCCAGACAGCAGAGCAUGCUAGCACAGGAGCACCUUGAAUGGGUUAUUGCAUACAGUACAUACAUUCAAAAUUAAUUAACCCCCUGGGGAUGAGCACAUUGUGAGAGAUGUAGUUAGUUUCCCAUCUAUUUGUCUAUAACUUACCUUAUAAGUACAAGUAAGUUAUACUUAUAACUUAUAAGUCUUUUUGUAGAAUCGCAAAAAGAAAAAAAAAUCCGUAAUCAGUUUUUUCAAAAUGUCGAUUGUCAGAUAUAUUAAAGUUUUUUUAAUUAAAUUAAAUUAAAUUGGCAAAAAAUGUGAACCAUGUCACCUUCAUUUUACCCUUAUUGGGGGCAUGACGUACCAUGCUCACCUUCAGGAUCUCUGGUUACAUUGUAAACAACCACAUUGCCAUGUAUUUACAAUGUAUUUUCAAUAGUAAAUCCAUGGUAAUGCAUGGUAAUUACCCUUGUUGUUUCUGUGGGGGUGACACAAUCCAGAUUUAUCUCCAUUAUCUCACCACAAUAAAAGGUGGUGUAGGUCGAAACUAAAUUUAUUGAACACCUUUCACUCUGAUGAGAUGGCAAGACUUAUGAAUUGACAGGAAGCACCUCUGGCUUUUUGGAAAAUGGUGGAGGAAAGUGAAAAUGAAGAUUAAUGUGCGCCAGAAGAUUGCAACACCGAUAAAGAAUUUUCAUUUUGAAAACUGGCUUGAUCCAGUUGUUGAUGACCUCUACAAGUAAGUGCAUUUUUAUUAACAUACUACUUGAUACAUGCGUAAAGUUAUAAAAACAAUUUUAGUGUACAUGUGCUUAUCAUAAGUUUUUAUUAUUAUAUUUUGCUCUUUCUCUAGUUAGUCAUUACUAUUUUAGUUUCACUAAUGUAGUCAUAAUUUUUUGAAAAUCUGAAAGACAAAUCAUAUAGGCACAUCACGUUUUGUUAGUUUUGAGUUAGCAUUGUUGUGCGAUGUAUUGGUAUAACUGUUUUGUAUACGUGUCUGCUAAUGGCCGGAAUGCAGUUUGUUUGUUGUUGUGCUGUUAUCACAUAUUUUUUUUUGCGACAUUUACAGAGACGAAGACUGAUCUGUAGGGCACCUUGGAACAUUGGUCAGACAGGAUCACGCUAUUUCAAGUUCACCUAUUCCAAAAGUGCAAGUUCCCUGCUGGCAGAUGAAAAAGUGAACGAUAUGUGCAAAACGCUCUUCCAUGUAUAUAGCUUGUUUGGUGUGUAUAUGCCAUUACGUUGACCGUGUUCAUAUGUAGGUUUACUACAUUGUAAACCAGUUUCUAUUUUUUGCAAUAAAUUUUUCUAAACAAGAAAA